rnacentral:rRNA from 1 species
AUUGAACGCUGGCGGCAGGCUUAACACAUGCAAGUCGAGCGAGCGGCGGACGGGUGAGUAAUGUCUGGGAAACUGCCUGAUGGAGGGGGAUAACUACUGGAAACGGUAGCUAAUACCGCAUACCAUCAGAUGUGCCCAGAUGGGAUUAGCUAGUAGGUGGGGUAAUGGCGCACCUAGGCGACGAUCCCUAGCUGGUCUGAGAGGAUGACCAGCCACACUGGAACUGAGACACGGUCCAGACUCCUACGGGAGGCAGCAGUGGGGAAUCGUCCGCAAUGGACGAAAGUCUGACGGAGCAACGCCGCGUGAGGGAUGACGGCCUUCGGGUUGUAAAGCACUUUCAGCGGGGAGGCGUUACCCGCAGAAGAAGCACCGGCUAACUCCGCGCCAGCAGCCGCGGUAAUUC